AUCUUACUGGAGAUCCCUGUGUACCAGAGGCCUUCUGAAAGUUUUUGGAAGUCUCUUGAGAACAGUACCUCCCCAUAACCAGACUGUGAUGUCUAGAAUGUGCAGGAACGUGUGCUACAGAAACACUGAAGAGACAAACGCAGAACUGUUAGUAGCAGCUCUGCAGAGGAGCCUUUUCCAGUCAUUUAUCCAAAGAAUUGAUCUGACUUUGAGUGGUCUUGUGUGGAGCCAGGGACAGAACUCGGUGUUCCUUCUGGUUCCCUUCCAACUCAGGAUAUUCAGUGACCCUAGAAUGAAUGGUACUGGAUCACUCUUCAAAGUUGAAGCGGAUCUCCAGAGCCUCAAACUGUUAACCAAAGAGUCAGUUCUGGGUCAGCGAGGAUUUGAGUGGUUAAAACUGCACAGUUCAUGGGGAGAGGUAAAUUGCUGGAAUGGGGCCUUGAGAGGAUGGCCAUUCUGGAGAUGUUCAAGUCCAGACCCUUGGCAAACUGCUUUAGCUGAGCAUGCUUUCCCCUGAGAUUUGCAGUAGAGACUCCUGGAGAUCCCUUCCAACUUGCUGUGUUUCUGGGCAUCAUGAUCCAAACAGUUAAUUCAGCUUUUUCACAGCUUUGCCUCUGCAAAUUAAACUGGAAUUGAAAGGACUGGCAUAUCUCAAAAGGCCUUUGGAAUGAAAUAUUCAGGAAUGUUUAUCAGUCAAAAAGCUGAGGAAUUUCAGGUUGAUAGGCAGUCUUCUAGAUGUUUCUAAACUUUGCUGAACAUCAACUCCUAGACUUCUGCAGGCUGUCUAUGUAAUUCUGAAUUUACUUUCUAAAUUGGCACGUAACUUAUUGAAUACGUUUUAAAGAGCAUAGCAGAACUCUGAGCCAGGAUAUAGAAAUUGAGGUGGAAUGUGCUUAUAACUGCAUAAGUAAAUGUGUAUGUGUAUGAUGAGUCCCAGAAGAAGUUGUAUACUGAAAACUGCAUUGUCUAACCUUCUUAUGUUUAAUUCAUCCUUUGAUAUGCUUGAUUAAUAUCAUUGCAGCCACUUUUUGUGUAGAUAAGUAUUAUUUUUUUGUAAAAUGCUAAAAAACAUCAGUAAAGGUAUGAUUUCUAAAAGAUUGUAAAACUUUGUGUAUAUAUUUUCUAUUAUAGACACAAAAUACUUGGCUUUUCCUCCGAAAUUAAAUAAACAUUUAAUU
ensembl:lncRNA